rnacentral:rRNA from 1 species
GAUGAACGCUGGCGGCGUGCCUAAUACAUGCAAGUCGAGCGAAGCGGGGACGGGUGAGUACCACGUGGAUAACCUCCUAUAAGACUGGGAUAACUUCGCGAACCCGGAGAUAAACCGGAUACUUGUAGAUGGAUCCGAGCUGCAUUAGCUAGUUGGUACGGUAACGGCUUACCAAGGCAACGAUGCAUAGCCGACCUGAGAGGGUGAUCGGCCACACUGGAACUGAGACACGGUCCAGACUCCUACGGGAGGCAGCAGUAGGGAAUCUUCCGCAAUGGGCGAAAGCCUGACGGAGCAAUGCCGCGUGUGUGAUGAAGGUCUUCGGAUCGUAAAACUCUGUUAGUAGGGAAGCGGUACCUAAACAGAAAGCCACGGCUAACUCCGUGCCAGCAGCCGCGGUAAUAC